AAUAAUCUCAUUUUUUGUUUUUUCGUGUUUAACGUUUAACCAUUCGUUUUAUUUGAAAUUUUUUUACGAUUAAUAUUUUUAUUGUUACUAGAUGAUAAAAUAUGAAUAGUAUUUUAUACGUGAUUAUUUUUUUUAAGUUUUUAUAAAUUUUUCAAAUAAGAUGAAUGGUCAAACGUUGGACACGGAAAA
rnacentral:pre_miRNA from 1 species